GAUGAACGCUGGCGGCGUGCCUAAUACAUGCAAGUCGAGCGAACAGACGAGGAGCUUGCUCCUCUGACGUUAGCGGCGGACGGGUGAGUAACAUGUGGAUAACCUACCUAUAAGGCUGGGAUAACUUCGGGAAACCGGAGCUAAUACCGGAUAAUAUAUUGAACCGCAUGGUUCAAUAGUGAAAGACGGUUUUGCUGUCACUUAUAGAUGGAUCCGCGCCGCAUUAGCUAGUUGGUAAGGUAACGGCUUACCAAGGCAACGAUGCGUAGCCGACCUGAGAGGGUGAUCGGCCACACUGGAACUGAGACACGGUCCAGACUCCUACGGGAGGCAGCAGUAGGGAAUCUUCCGCAAUGGGCGAAAGCUUGACGGAGCAACGCCGCGUGAGUGAUGAAGGUCUUCGGAUCGUAAAACUCUGUUAUUAGGGAAGAACAAAUGUGUAAGUAACUAUGCACGUCUUGACGGUACCUAAUCAGAAAGCCACGGCUAACUACGUG
rnacentral:rRNA from 1 species